rnacentral:lncRNA from 1 species
UAAGAUCAUUAUUACAAGUGGAACUAUUAACAUGAGAAUGCAUAGAAACAGUCUUACUUUCAGAUAAAAGAUCAUCAUUACAAGGAGACACAGAGGGCAAUGCAACAACUUGGUUAUCAUUACCAUUACAAGAAACAGAAACAGGAUUACAAGAAUUAGAAAAGAAAGUAACAGAGGGAGAAGGGGAAGAAGGAGACCAAGUUAGUUUAUACAGCCCAGCAGUUUGUCUACCAAGAUCCAGUGGCCUCCUCAGAGAAGGGUCC